rnacentral:siRNA from 1 species
UACACUUGGACAUGUCUCGGGUAC